GGUCCAGUAGCUCAGUGGUUUAGAGCACAUAUAAAGCUAGAGAUCCUUGGUUCAAUCCCAGGCUGGGUCA